GAUGAAGAACGCAGCGAAAUGCGAUAAGUAAUGUGAAUUGCAGAAUUCAGUGAAUCAUCGAAUCUUUGAACGCACCUUGCGCUCCUUGGUAUUCCUUGGAGCAUGCCUGUUUGAGUAUCAUGAAAUCUACAAAGUCAAACCUUUUGUUAAUUCAAUUGGUUCUGCUUUGGUAUUGGAGGAUUAUUGCAGCUUCACACCUGCUCCUCUUUGUGCAUUAGCUGGAUCUCAGUGUUAUGCUUGGUUCCACUCAGCGUGAUAAGUUAUCUAUCGCUGAGGACACCCUGUUAAAAAGGGGUGGCCAAGGUAAAUGCAGAUGAACCGCUUCUAAUAGUCCAUUGACUUGGACAAUAUCUAAUUUAUGAUCUGAUCUCAAAUCAGGUAGGACUACCCGCUGAACUUAAGCAUAUCAAUAAGCGGAGGA
rnacentral:misc_RNA from 1 species